rnacentral:rRNA from 1 species
GUCCUCUUGAAAAUAAUUUGAGGUUUAACCUGCCCACUGAAAAAUUUUAACGGCCGCAGUAAUUUGACUGUGCAAAGGUAGCAUAAUCAUUAGUUUUUUAAUUAAAAGCUUGUAUGAAGGGUUGGACGAGGUAAAAUCUGUCUCUAUUUAAUUAAGAAUAGAAUUUAAUUUUUAAGUUAAAAAGCUUAAAUUUAUAUAAAAGACGAGAAGACCCUAUAGAUCUUUAUAUUAUUUAUUUUAAUUUUAAUAUAGAAUUAUUUAUUAAUUAAUAUAAAUAUUAUUUUAUUGGGGUAAUAAAAAGAUUUAAUAAAUUCUUUUAUAAUUUAUACAUUGAUUAAUGAAUAAAUGAUCCAAUUAUUUUGAUUAUAAGAUUAAGUUACCUUAGGGAUAACAGCGUAAUUUUUUUAGAGAGUUCUUAUCGAUAAAAAAGUUUGCGA